rnacentral:rRNA from 1 species
CCUACGGGUGGCUGCAGUGAGGAAUAUUGGUCAAUGGCCGGAAGGCUGAACCAGCCAAGCCGCGUGAGGGAGGAAGGCGCAGAGCGUCGCAGACCUCUUUUGCCGGGGGACAAAAGGCCGGACUCGUCCGGUCCUGAGGGUACCCGGAGAAAAAGCAUCGGCCAACUCCGUGCCCGCAGCCGCGGUAAUACGGAGGAUGCGAGCGGUGUCCGGAUUCAUUGGGGUUAAAGGGUGGGCAGGCGGGCCUUUAAACCGGCGGGGAAAUCGCGGGGCUAACCCCCGCCGCGCCGUCGGAACUGGGGGCCUUGAGUGCGGGGGAGGCAUGCGGAAUGCGCGGUGUAGCGGUGAAAUGCAUAGAUAUCGCGCAGAACCCCGAUUGCGAAGGCAGCGUGCCGUGCCGCCACUGACGCUGAGGCACGAAAGCGCGGGGAUCGAACAGGAUUAGAUACCCGGGUAGUC